GCCGGUCCUCGGUAGUGGUCCCCGGACAUUCCCCUCAGGGCAUGCCGUGGGCUUCGAUCGAUGACCGGC
rfam:Nocardiopsis dassonvillei subsp. dassonvillei DSM 43111, complete genome.